rnacentral:rRNA from 1 species
UACGUAGGGGGCAAGCGUUGUCCGGAAUCAUUGGGCGUAAAGAGCGCGUAGGCGGCCCAGUAAGUCCGCUCUGAAAGUCAGGGGCUCAACCCCUGGAUGCGGGUGGAUACUGCUGGGCUAGAGUCCGGAAGAGGCGAGUGGAAUUCCUGGUGUAGCGGUGAAAUGCGCAGAUAUCAGGAGGAACACCGAUGGCGAAGGCAGCGCCCUGGCCGUUUCCUGACGCUGAUGCACGAAAGCUGGGGGAGCAAACAGG